AGAGUUUGAUCCUGGCUCAGGACGAACGCUGGCGGCGUGCCUAAUACAUGCAAGUAGAACGCUGAAGGAGGAGCUUGCUUCUCUGGAUGAGUUGCGAACGGGUGAGUAACGCGUAGGUAACCUGCCUGGUAGCGGGGGAUAACUAUUGGAAACGAUAGCUAAUACCGCAUAAGAGUGGAUGUUGCAUGACAUUUGCUUAAAAGGUGCACUUGCAUCACUACCAGAUGGACCUGCGUUGUAUUAGCUAGUUGGUGGGGUAACGGCUCACCAAGGCGACGAUACAUAGCCGACCUGAGAGGGUGAUCGGCCACACUGGGACUGAGACACGGCCCAGACUCCUACGGGAGGCAGCAGUAGGGAAUCUUCGGCAAUGGACGGAAGUCUGACCGAGCAACGCCGCGUGAGUGAAGAAGGUUUUCGGAUCGUAAAGCUCUGUUGUAAGAGAAGAACGAGUGUGAGAGUGGAAAGUUCACACUGUGACGGUAUCUUACCAGAAAGGGACGGCUAACUACGUGCCAGCAGCCGCGGUAAUACGUAGGUCCCGAGCGUUGUCCGGAUUUAUUGGGCGUAAAGCGAGCGCAGGCGGUUAGAUAAGUCUGAAGUUAAAGGCUGUGGCUUAACCAUAGUAGGCUUUGGAAACUGUUUAACUUGAGUGCAAGAGGGGAGAGUGGAAUUCCAUGUGUAGCGGUGAAAUGCGUAGAUAUAUGGAGGAACACCGGUGGCGAAAGCGGCUCUCUGGCUUGUAACUGACGCUGAGGCUCGAAAGCGUGGGGAGCAAACAGGAUUAGAUACCCUGGUAGUCCACGCUGUAAACGAUGAGUGCUAGGUGUUAGACCCUUUCCGGGGUUUAGUGCCGUAGCUAACGCAUUAAGCACUCCGCCUGGGGAGUACGACCGCAAGGUUGAAACUCAAAGGAAUUGACGGGGGCCCGCACAAGCGGUGGAGCAUGUGGUUUAAUUCGAAGCAACGCGAAGAACCUUACCAGGUCUUGACAUCCCUCUGANCUUGUUCAUGCAGGAAGUUCAGUAGAUUAAAGGCAUAAUGUCCGGUAUCUUCAAGAGCGAUGAGAUAGUCUUGGUUGAGCUGUCGAAGAGACAGAUCUAAUAGUUCAAAACCAGUUUUAUUAUUUGAAAAAGUGAGUGGUUUAAGAACAGUUUUCCUCGAACAUUCAAGGCUGUAACAUCGUGUUUAUUUUUAGCGACAUCAAUGCCCACAUAAAGCAUGGGAGUACCUCCAGAUGUAGUAUUUCAAGUCUACUUGGUUAUCCACGAAUUUUUUGCCUUGUUACCUUAGACGAGAUAAAACGUCUAUGCGUUAUCAAACUCAUUACCAAUUGAAACAAAAAACUGUGGUUAGAGCCUUUCGGAAAUCGUCAAGCGAUUGGAGGGAAUAAACUAAUCCACAGUGGCUUAUUCCAAGUAUACCACUUGGGCUUUGGCAGUAGCUAACUGCGCUAAAUAUAAUAUAAGGAGAAAUAGAUGGAUUUAUGGUUUUCUGAAGU
rnacentral:rRNA from 1 species